UUAAAUUGAAGAGUUUGAUCAUGGCUCAGAUUGAACGCUGGCGGCAGGCCUAACACAUGCAAGUCGAACGGUAAAAGGAAGCAGCUUGCUGCUUU
rnacentral:rRNA from 1 species